rnacentral:rRNA from 1 species
CUACGUGCCAGCAGCCGCGGUCAUACGUAGGAUCCGAGCGUUAUCCGGAGUGACUGGGCGUAAAGAGUUGCGUAGGUGGUUCAAUAAGCGAAUAGUGAAAGCUGGUGGCUCAACCAUUCAGAUUAUUAUUCGAACUGUUGAACUCGAGAGCAGAAGAGGUAGCUGGAAUUUCUAGUGUAGGAGUGAAAUCCGUAGAUAUUAGAAGGAACACCGAUGGCGUAGGCAGGCUACUGGGCUGUUUCUGACACUGAGGCACGAAAGCGUGGGGAGCGAACCGGAUUAGAUACCCGGGUAGUCCACGCCGUAAACGAUGGAUACUAGCUGUUUGGGGUAUCGACCCCCUGAGUAGCGAAGCUAACGCGUUAAGUAUCCCGCCUGUGGAGUACGAUCGCAAGAUUAAAACAUAAAGGAAUUGACGGGGACCCGCACAAGCGGUGGAUCAUGUUCUUUAAUUCGAUGAUAACCGAUAAACCUUACCAGGUCUUGACA